rnacentral:lncRNA from 1 species
UAAAUAAAAGUAAAUGGACAGCUCAGGUUAAUUGCCAACUUUGUUAUUAAAUAGACCAUAGCAAACAUAACUUUUUAUUCGUGUAAAUUAAGUGAAAGUUAUAAUGUCCCAGUAACCAGAACUAUUGAAUAAAUAAGCCUUUAAACUGGUUCUCACAUUCAGUGUGAUACAAUAAGAAUUUACCAUUGCAGGUGCUUAUGACUAAAGUUAAACAUUGCACAAAAUACCAAACCCACUUCAAGAGUGUGAUUCCUACUGGAGGAAUUUGUUAUAAUAAGAGCAUCAAAAACUAAAAUCAUGACAUUAAUGGCACAUUGAAUUUUUGAAAUAAACUGGAUAAAAGUCCAUAGGAAUACAAAAUCUUCGCAUAGCAGUGUAUUAAAAUGAUAGUGUACAGCAGAGGGGGAAAUGCCUUUAUCCUUACAACAAAGAAUGCCUUAAACGAGUCCUGGAAUCAGUCGCUCAGCCUGAUGUGUGCUCCCUUCCACUAGACAUUAACGUCUCUUAAGAAAUACACUUACCAGUGUUCUUUUAACUUUAGCUUCUAGGUGAUGGUUCUCAGUCAGGUGCUGGGUCAGAAGCUCGUGGGCACAUUUAACAAUGUGUAGGGACACUUCGAUGCUACAGCCUCGGAGAGUGCAUGAGGUCAAUCGGAUUUGGUGGGUAGAAGCCAGGGUUGGAGACAAACAACCUGCAAUGCGCAGGACACUUGUGGAACCCUCAAAAAUUUGCUGGUGUAAAAUAUCAAUAGUGCAAUAUCAGGACCAGGCAGUGGUGGCACACACCUUUAAUCCCAGCACUUGAGAGGCAGAGUCAGGAGAAUCUGAUGUUCAAGGCCAGCCUGGUCUCCAUCGAUAUUUUCAGGCCAGCCAGAGCGACAUACUCAGACCCAUUGUCACAUACAAACACGAAGAGAUAAAACAAAAGUCCUAAAUCUAGAGAAAUUUUAUAAAAUUUCAUAGCAAAUACAGAAAUUUGAAAAUAGACCAAAUAUUGAAUUUCAGUGUGUUAAUGGAGUUAUCAUUAGAUACUAUAAUGAAAUCUUGGAAAUCCUAUGCCGGUGUAUUUAUUUAUGAUGAAUUAUACUAUAAUGUAUUUGCACAUACUUUAUAUCCAUGUAUGUAUGUGUAUAUAUGAGAUAGAGGAGAAAAUAUGGCAAGAUAUUAAAAACAAAUCCAUCCAAGGGUCCUGGUGCAUAGUUUUUGUUUUUUUUUAACUUUCCCCUAGAUUUUAAAUAUUUCCAACUUUUAAAAAAGCCAAAAUGAAUUAUACUAACAAUCCCAAAAUUUUUCAUUGAAAUACUGUUCUGUAAAGAUAAUCUGAUACCAUGGAAAAUGAUAACAGCUGAGUAGAUAAAUUUUAUCUUGUAUCAGAUAAAUCAUUAAUUUACUGUAAAUACAAAGUCCUCAAUGAGCUGAAUUUGAAAGGAAAAAUCCUAAGAAUUAAAAAAAAAGAGGUUUUUGGUAGAUUAAAAAAAAAGCAGAGGAUAUUAAAUCUGUUGGGAAUAAAUAAAGAAAUAAAUUGACAUCCAAAAAGAAGUGAACAAAAUCACUUGGAUUCCCCUGUAAUUUCAGUGAAGGAAAAAAAUUCUCAUACUGAAAAGGGCAGAAGAACAUAGCUGAACAGGGAUGAACGCUAAAACUAUGAUCUACCUAUGAUCUAGAAUGCAGACACACCUUGGAUUACAGUUGGAUCUGGCUGGAACACAGACGUGCCCUUAGCACACAUUUUUAAUCUCUACCAGUGAAGAUAAAGGUUAGUUUGUAGAAAGAAGCAGCCAUGUUUGAAAGUGAUGUCUAAUAGAGAGGAAAACAAAGUGACAUGACAAAAUGAGAUAAGCCUAAUGAGAACAGAUAGGAAAGAGAAAACACUUAAGAGCAACAAGAGGGGCAGGUGUUUAUGGCAGUUUGGUCAGGGCAGUUUUACAGAGACAGGUUGCAGAGAACACACUAGAUACAGGUGAAGAUUGAACAGGCCAGACAAUGAGAAGGAAACAGAAAAUUAGAACAUAUUGCCCAAGUUAGUAUGAGGGCAAGCAAAUAGAGCAAGUCAGUCACAAGUCAAGAGAAGACAGAUUGAAUCAGUCAGUUUGAAAUAUUAAAUUGUACAGAUGAUAAAAGCUUCCAGACCUAGGCCUAGGGAGAGUUAGUACAGAGAAAGAAAUGCUCUACACUCAUACCAAGCCACGUGUUCACACAGCUUGAGUCCAGAUAAGGUCUGGAAAUUGCCCCACUGAGUCUGAGAGGUUUACACAGACAUCGAUCUCAGCUAAACAGGGCUGGUUUAUUGAGCUCAUGAUCAAUAUAGGGACAAGAAAGUGAACAGUUUAAACAGAAGAGAAUAAAAGUGCUACAAUAGUGACCUUCAAACAUGUAAAGCUCUCACAUACAAGAAAUGUACACUUGUGUGGUCCUCAGCCCCAGGAUAUGGUACUGGGAAUAAAAUGAAGAUAAUUUCCGCUUAACAUAAAAAUGGUCUGUUCUGCCUGCCGGUUUGUUAAUCCUGCUCCCCUAAAUGGACCGCCUUGGCUGGCCUCAGUGGGAGAAGAUGUGCCUAGCCCCACAGUGAUUUGAUGUGCGGGAAGGGGGGAGGAUUAACUGGGUAAUGACACUUAAGGAAGAGGUUCCUCGUUCUCCAAAGAGAAGGAGAAGGUGGAAUGGGGGAGGAGCUGCAUGAGGGGAAUAAAAUUGGGAGAAGGAGG